rnacentral:rRNA from 1 species
GUCGAGGAUCUUUAGCAAUGCCCGAAAGGGUGACUAUGCGACGCCGCGUGCAGGAUGACGGCCUUCGGGUUGUAAACUGCUGUCAGGGGGGAAGAAACCUUACGUGUUAACAGCGCGUAAGCUGACAUCACCCCCAAAGGAAGCCACGGCUAACUCUGUGCCAGCAGCCGCGGUAAGACAGAGGUGGCAAGCGUUGUUCGGAUUUAUUGGGUGUAAAGGGUCCGUAGGUGGUCUAUUAAGUCUGAUGUGAAAUCCCAUGGCUCAACCGUGGAACUGCAUUGGAAACUGAUGGACUUGAGUAUCGGAGAGGUAAAGGGAAUUCUCGGUGUAAGGGUGAAAUCUGUAGAUAUCGAGAGGAACACCAGUGGCGAAAGCGCUUUACUGGCCGAUUACUGACACUGAGGGACGAAAGCAAGGGGAGCAAACAGGAUUAGAAACCCGGGUAGUCC